CUCACAGUUGUCUAUUCCCACAGGUCACAGUUCGAUUUGUGGAGCUGCUGCUCUGUCCUAGAGGUGAGGUGAGAGGAUAUGAUGUCAGCGACGCCUGUGCAUGGUUUGAGAGAUUCGUUGCCGGGCAAAAGAUUUUGACUCUGGUCAAAGAUUCAUUGGAGCGAUUCAGCGGGCCACUAGGGCAGGCGGCCAGCGCUCAUCAGGGUAAAACAAUAAAAACAUUGGCCAUACCAUAAAAGAACAAAAGAAAGGAAGAACGAUGCUAGGUCUACACGUGCAGCGGCCAGCGGGGAUCAUAGGUUCAGGCCUUGUUUAGUCACCCAAAAAGCAAAAAGUUUUCAAGAUUUCCCGUUACAUCGAAUCUUGCGGCACAUGCAUGAAGCAUUAAAUAUAGAGGAAAGCAAAAACUAAUUACACAGUUUAGCUGGAAAUUGCGAGACGAAUCUUUCGAUCCUAGUUAGUCCAUAAUUAGAUAAUAUUUGUUACAAAC
rnacentral:lncRNA from 1 species